AUACGGAAGGCAGCAGUGGGGAAUCUUGCACAAUGGGGGAAACCCUGAUGCAGCGACGCCGCGUGAGCGAUGAAGCCCUUCGGGGUGUAAAGCUCUUUCGGCAGGGACGAUAAUGACGGUACCUGCAGAAGCAGCUGCGGCUAACUACGUGCCAGCAGCCGCGGUAAUACGUAGGCAGCGAGCGUUGUUCGGAGUUACUGGGCGUAAAGGGUGUGUAGGCGGUCCCUUAAGUUUGGUGUGAAAUCUCCCGGCUCAACUGGGAGGGUGCGCCGGAUACUGAGGGGCUAGAGUGCGGGAAGGGAAAGUGGAAUUCCUGGUGUAGCGGUGAAAUGCGUAGAUAUCAGGAGGAACACCGGUGGUGCAAACGGCUUUCUGGACCGUAACUGACGCUGAGACACGAAAGCGUGGGGAGCAAACAGGAUUAGAUACCCGAGUAGUCCC
rnacentral:rRNA from 1 species